GAUGAAGAACGUAGCGAAAUGGGAUAAGUAGUGUGAAUUGCAGAAUUCAGUGAAUCAUCGAAUCUUUGAACGCACAUUGCGCCCCUUGGUAUCCCGAGGGGCAUGCCUGUUCGAGCGUCAUUUCACCACUCAAGCCUGGCUUGGUGUUGGGCGACGUCCCCUUUGGGGACGCGCCUCGAAACGCUCGGCGGCGUGGCACCGGCUUUAAGCGUAGCAGAAUCUUUCGCUUUGGAAGUCGGGGCCCCGUCUGCCGGAAGACCUACUCGCAAGGUUGACCUCGGAUCAGGCAGGGAUACCCGCUGAACUUAAGCAUAUCAAUAAGCGGAGGA
rnacentral:misc_RNA from 1 species